rnacentral:rRNA from 1 species
GAUGAACGCUGGCGGCGUGCCUAAUACAUGCAAGUCGAGCGAAUGGAUUGAGAGCUUGCUCUUAUGAAGUUAGCGGCGGACGGGUGAGUAACACGUGGGUAACCUGCCCAUAAGACUGGGAUAACUCCGGGAAACCGGGGCUAAUACCGGAUAACAUUUUGAACCGCAUGGUUCGAAAUUGAAAGGCGGCUUCGGCUGUGACUUAUGGGUGGACCCGCGUCGCAUUAGCUAGUUGGUGAGGUAACGGCUCACCAAGGCAACGAUGCGUAGCCGACCUGAGAGGGUGAUCGGCCACACUGGGACUGAGACACGGCCCAGACUCCUACGGGAGGCAGCAGUAGGGAAUCUUCCGCAAUGGACGAAAGUCUGACGGAGCAACGCCGCGUGAGUGAUGAAGGCUUUCGGGUCGUAAAACUCUGUUGUUAGGGAAGAACAAGUGCUAGUUGAAUAAGCUGGCACCUUGACGGUACCUAACCAGAAAGCCACGGCUAACUACGUGCCAGCCGCCGCGGUAA